GAAUCUACCUAUUAGGUUCGGGACAACAGUUGGAAACGACUGCUAAUACCGGAUGUGCCGAGAGGUAAAAGCUUUAGUGCCUAUAGAUGAGCUUGCGUCCGAUUAGCUAGAUGGAGUGGUAACGGCACACCAUGGCGACGAUCGGUAGCUGGUCUGAGAGGAUGACCAGUCACACUGGAACUGAGACACGGUCCAGACUCCUACGGGAGGCAGCAGUGGGGAAUUUUCCGCAAUGGGCGAAAGCCUGACGGAGCAAUACCGCGUGAGGGACGAAGGUCUGUGGAUUGUAAACCUCUUUUGUUAGGGAAGAUAAUGACGGUACCUAACGAAUAAGCAUCGGCUAACUCCGUGCCAGCAGCCGCGGUAAGACGGAGGAUGCAAGCGUUAUCCGGAAUUAUUGGGCGUAAAGCGUACGUAGGCUGUUAGAUAAGUCUGUUGUCAAAGCGCGAGGCUCAACCUUGUAAAGGCAAUGGAAACUGUUUGACUAGAGAGAGAUAGGGGCAGGAGGAAUUCCAGGUGUAGCGGUGAAAUGCGUAGAUAUCUGGAAGAACACCAGUGGCGAAAGCGUCCUGCUGGAUCUCAACUGACGCUGAAGUACGAAAGCUAGGGGAGCG
rnacentral:rRNA from 1 species